AUUGAACGCUGGCGGCAUGCCUUACACAUGCAAGUCGAACGGUAACGGGUCCUUCGGGAUGCCGACGAGUGGCGAACGGGCGAGUAAUAUAUCGGAACGUGCCCAGUAGUGGGGGAUAACUGCUAGAAAGAGCAGCUAAUACCACAUACGACCUGAGGGUGAAUGGGGGGGAACGCAAGACCUGUCGCUAUUGGAGCGGCCGAUAUCAGAUUAGCUAGUUGGUGGGGUAAAGGCCUACCAAGGCAACGAUCUGUAGUUGGUCUGAGAGGACGACCAGCCACACUGGGACUGAGACACGGCCCAGACUCCUACGGGAGGCAGCAGUGGGGAAUUUUGGACAAUGGGCGCAAGCCUGAUCCAGCAAUGCCGCGUGCAGGAAGAAGGCCUUCGGGUUGUAAACUGCUUUUGUCAGGGAAGAAAUCUUCUGGGCUAAUACCCCGGGAGGAUGACGGUACCUGAAGAAUAAGCACCGGCUAACUACGUGCCAGCAGCCGCCGUAA
rnacentral:rRNA from 1 species